rnacentral:rRNA from 1 species
GAUGAACGCUGGCGGCGUGCCUAAUACAUGCAAGUCGAGCGAACAGAUGAGGAGCUUGCUCCUCUGACGUUAGCGGCGGACGGGUGAGUAACACGUGGAUAACCUACCUAUAAGACUGGGAUAACUUCGGGAAACCGGAGCUAAUACCGGAUAAUAUAUUGAACCGCAUGGUUCAAUAGUGAAAGACGGUUUUGCUGUCACUUAUAGAUGGAUCCGCGCCGCAUUAGCUAGUUGGUAAGGUAACGGCUUACCAAGGCAACGAUGCGUAGCCGACCUGAGAGGUUGGUCGGCCACACUGGAACUGAGGCACGGUCCAGGCUCCUACGGGAGGCAGCAGUAGGGAAUCUUCCGCAAUGGGCGAAAGCCUGACGGAGCAACGCCGCGUGAGUGAUGAAGGUCUUCGGAUCGUAAAACUCUGUUAUUAGGGAAGAACAAAUGUGUAAGUAACUAUGCACGUCUUGACGGUACCUAAUCAGAAAGCCACGGCUAACUACGUG